GGAGAGAUGGCAGAGCGGUCGAAUGCGACGGUCUUGAAAACCGUUAUCUCGCUAAAACGGGAUCGUGGGUUCGAAUCCCACUCUCUCCUCCA
rnacentral:tRNA from 2 species